rnacentral:rRNA from 1 species
CGUGAGACAGUUCGGUCCCUAUCCGUCGCGGGCGCAGGAAAUUUGAGAGGAGCUGUCCUUAGUACGAGAGGACCGGGAUGGACACACCGCUGGUGUACCAGUUGUUCCGCCAGGAGCAUCGCUGGGUAGCUAUGUGUGGCAGGGAUAAACGCUGAAAGCAUCUAAGCGUGAAGCCCCCCUCAAGAUGAGAUUUCCCAUUUCUUCGGAAAGUAAGAUCCCUGAAAGAUGAUCAGGUAGAUAGGUUUGGAGUGGAAGUGUAGCGAUACAUGGAGCGGACAAAUACUAAUCGAUCGAGGACUUAACCAAAA